AAUCCAUAGGUUAAUGAGGCGAACCGGGGGAACUGAAACAUCUAAGUACCCCGAGGAAAAGAAAUCAACCGAGAUUCCCCCAGUAGCGGCGAGCGAACGGGGAGGAGCCCAGAGCCUGAAUCAGCAUGUGUGUUAGUGGAAGCGUCUGGAAAGGCGCGCGAUACAGGGUGACAGCCCCGUACACAAAAGCGCAUGUGCUGUGAGCUCGAUGAGUAGGGCGGGACACGUGGUAUCCUGUCUGAAUAUGGGGGGACCAUCCUCCAAGGCUAAAUACUCCUGACUGACCGAUAGUGAACCAGUACCGUGAGGGAAAGGCGAAAAGAACCCCGGCGAGGGGAGUGAAAAAGAACCUGAAACCGUGUACGUACAAGCAGUGGGAGCACCCUUUGGGUGUGACUGCGUACCUUUUGUAUAAUGGGUCAGCGACUUAUAUUCUGUAGCAAGGUUAACCGAAUAGGGGAGCCGGAGGGAAACCGAGUCUUAACCGGGCGUUAAGUUGCAGGGUAUAGACCCGAAACCCGGUGAUCUAGCCAUGGGCAGGUUGAAGGUUGGGUAACACUAACUGGAGGACCGAACCGACUAAUGUUGAAAAAUUAGCGGAUGACCUGUGGCUGGGGGUGAAAGGCCAAUCAAACCGGGAGAUAGCUGGUUCUCCCCGAAAGCUAUUUAGGUAGCGCCUCGUGAAUUCAUCUCCGGGGGUAGAGCACUGUUUCGGCUAGGGGGCCAUCCCGGCUUACCAACCCGAUGCAAACUGCGAAUACCGGAGAAUGUUAUCACGGGAGACACACGGCGGGUGCUAACGUCCGUCGUGAAGAGGGAAACAACCCAGACCGCCAGCUAAGGUCCCAAAGUCAUGGUUAAGUGGGAAACGAUGUGGGAAGGCCCAGACAGCCAGGAUGUUGGCUUAGAAGCAGCCAUCAUUUAAAGAAAGCGUAAUAGCUCACUGGUCGAGUCGGCCUGCGCGGAAGAUGUAACGGGGCUAAACCAUGCACCGAAGCUGCGGCAGCGACACUGUGUGUUGUUGGGUAGGGGAGCGUUCUGUAAGCCUGUGAAGGUGUGUCGUGAGGCAUGCUGGAGGUAUCAGAAGUGCGAAUGCUGACAUAAGUAACGAUAAAGCGGGUGAAAAGCCCGCUCGCCGGAAGACCAAGGGUUCCUGUCCAACGUUAAUCGGGGCAGGGUGAGUCGACCCCUAAGGCGAGGCCGAAAGGCGUAGUCGAUGGGAAACGGGUUAAUAUUCCCGUACUUGGUGUUACUGCGAAGGGGGGACGGAGAAGGCUAUGUUGGCCGGGCGACGGUUGUCCCGGUUUAAGCGUGUAGGUGUGUGUUCCAGGUAAAUCCGGUUCACUUUAACACUGAGGCGUGACGACGAGGCACUACGGUGCUGAAGCAACAAAUGCCCUGCUUCCAGGAAAAGCCUCUAAGCAUCAGGUAACAUCAAAUCGUACCCCAAACCGACACAGGUGGUCAGGUAGAGAAUACCAAGGCGCUUGAGAGAACUCGGGUGAAGGAACUAGGCAAAAUGGUGCCGUAACUUCGGGAGAAGGCACGCUGACACGUAGGUGAAGUGAUUUACUCAUGGAGCUGAAGUCAGUCGAAGAUACCAGCUGGCUGCAACUGUUUAUUAAAAACACAGCACUGUGCAAACACGAAAGUGGACGUAUACGGUGUGACGCCUGCCCGGUGCCGGAAGGUUAAUUGAUGGGGUCAGCGCAAGCGAAGCUCCUGAUCGAAGCCCCGGUAAACGGCGGCCGUAACUAUAACGGUCCUAAGGUAGCGAAAUUCCUUGUCGGGUAAGUUCCGACCUGCACGAAUGGCGUAAUGAUGGCCAGGCUGUCUCCACCCGAGACUCAGUGAAAUUGAACUCGCUGUGAAGAUGCAGUGUACCCGCGGCAAGACGGAAAGACCCCGUGAACCUUUACUAUAGCUUGACACUGAACAUUGAGCCUUGAUGUGUAGGAUAGGUGGGAGGCUUUGAAGUGUGGACGCCAGUCUGCAUGGAGCCGACCUUGAAAUACCACCCUUUAAUGUUUGAUGUUCUAACGUGGACCCGUUACCCGGGUUGCGGACAGUGUCUGGUGGGUAGUUUGACUGGGGCGGUCUCCUCCUAAAGAGUAACGGAGGAGCACGAAGGUUGGCUAAUCCUGGUCGGACAUCAGGAGGUUAGUGCAAUGGCAUAAGCCAGCUUGACUGCGAGCGUGACGGCGCGAGCAGGUGCGAAAGCAGGUCAUAGUGAUCCGGUGGUUCUGAAUGGAAGGGCCAUCGCUCAACGGAUAAAAGGUACUCCGGGGAUAACAGGCUGAUACCGCCCAAGAGUUCAUAUCGACGGCGGUGUUUGGCACCUCGAUGUCGGCUCAUCACAUCCUGGGGCUGAAGUAGGUCCCAAGGGUAUGGCUGUUCGCCAUUUAAAGUGGUACGCGAGCUGGGUUUAGAACGUCGUGAGACAGUUCGGUCCCUAUCUGCCGUGGGCGCUGGAGAACUGAGGGGGGCUGCUCCUAGUACGAGAGGACCGGAGUGGACGCAUCACUGGUGUUCGGGUUGUCAUGCCAAUGGCACUGCCCGGUAGCUAAAUGCGGAAGAGAUAAGUGCUGAAAGCAUCUAAGCACGAAACUUGCCCCGAGAUGAGUUCUCCCUGAGACUUUAGGUCUCCUGAAGGAACGUUGAAGACGACG
rnacentral:rRNA from 1 species